rnacentral:rRNA from 1 species
CCUACGGGAGGCAGCAGUGGGGAAUCUUGCGCAAUGCACGAAAGUGUGACGCAGCAACGCCGCGUGGAGGAAGAAGGCUCUCGGGUCGUAAACUCCUUUCAGUUGGGACGAAGCUUCGUCAGUUAAUAGCCGGCUGGAGUGACGGUACCUUCACAAGAAGCACCGGCUAACUACGUGCCAGCAGCCGCGGUAAUACGUAGGGUGCAAGCGUUGUCCGGAAUCAUUGGGCGUAAAGAGCGUGUAGGCGGCCCGAUUAGUCCGCUGUGAAAGUCCAGGGCUCAACCCUGGAAUGCCGGUGGAUACUGUCGGGCUCGAGUCCGGAAGAGGCGAGUGGAAUUCCUGGUGUAGCGGUGAAAUGCGCAGAUAUCAGGAAGAACACCAACGGCGAAGGCAGCUCGCUGGGACGGUACUGACGCUGAGACGCGAAAGCGUGGGGAGCAAACAGGAUUAGAUACCCUGGUAGUCCACGCCGUAAACGAUGGGUACUAGGUGUGGGGGUGUCGGACUCCCCCGUGCCGAAGCUAACGCAUAGUACCCGCCUGGGGNGACGGCGCGAAGACGUAACGUUACGAAGAAGUUAGAGGCGNGNGAGNGCGACGGACGACGACGAGGGAGGAGG